rnacentral:rRNA from 1 species
AUUGAACGCUAGCGGGAUGCUUUACACAUGCAAGUCGAACGAGUGGCGGACGGGUGAGUAAUAUAUCGGAACGUGCCCAGUAGCGGGGGAUAACUACUCGAAAGGGUGGCUAAUACCGCAUACUAUUGGAGCGGCCCAUAUCGGAUUAGCUAGUUGGUGGGGUAAAGGCUCACCAAGGCAACGAUCCGUAGCUGGUUUGAGAGGAUGACCAGCCACACUGGGACUGAGACACGGCCCAGACUCCUACGGGAGGCAGCAGUGGGGAAUUUUGGACAAUGGGGGAAACCCUGAUGCAGCCAUCCCGCGUGUAUGAGAAGGCCUUAGGGUUGUAAAGUACUUUUGGCAGAGAGGCGGUAUCUGCAGAAGAAGCACCGGCUAACUACGUGCCAGCCGCCGCGGUAAUUC